ACAAUCACAGAGGGCAAGCCCAUCAACAGGCUACUCCCUUCUCGUGCUCUGCACACGUGCAGGUCCCUUCUGCAGAGCAGACAGUACUGAUCCAUGUUAAGGGGACCCAGCUAAAGCCAACUAGAGAAAGACAACUGAACACUUCACUGCAUACAGUCUCAUUGCCCAUUUUUAUUAGGGCUGUAUUUCAGCUCAGCUCUACUCUCCAGAUAUUUGCUUUUCUAAGGAGAGGAGCUGUGCUUUCUUCAGUGUGAAUCAGAAUGGAAAACAUCACAAAACAAUGAUGCUAGCACUGUCUGUCAGAAGACAGCCCCAUCUCUGACAACAAUGAACUGGAAAAGCUUCAAAGGACUCAAGAAUAAAGAGAAAAUUGUUCACCAAAUUAUUAAGACAAAGGUUAUGCAGAAAUCUGACAAAUGAACCAUCAAUAAUACUCCACUGACUCUAA